rnacentral:rRNA from 1 species
UGGGGAAUAUUGCGCAAUGGGGGGAACCCUGACGCAGCAACGCCGCGUGAAGGAAGAAGGUCUUCGGAUUGUAAACUUUUGUCUUUGGUGAAGAUAGUGACGGUAGCCAAGGAGGAAGCCACGGCUAACUACGUGCCAGCAGCCGCGGUAAUACGUAGGUGGCAAGCGUUGUCCGGAUUUACUGGGUGUAAAGGGCGUGUAGACGGGUUGUUAAGUCAGAUGUGAAAUACCGCAGCUUAACUGCGGGGCUGCAUAUGAUACUGGCAAUCUUGAGUGCGGGAGAGGAAAGCGGAAUUCCUAGUGUAGCGGUGAAAUGCGUAGAUAUUAGGAGGAACACCAGUGGCGAAGGCGGCUUUCUGGACCGUAACUGACGUUGAGGCGCGAAAGCGUGGGUA